AUGGACGAGCAGCCCAGGCUGAUGCAUUCCCAUGCUGGGGUCGGGAUGGCCGGACACCCCGGCCUGUCCCAGCACUUGCAGGAUGGGGCCGGAGGGACCGAGGGGGAGGGCGGGAGGAAGCAGGACAUUGGAGACAUUUUACAGCAAAUUAUGACCAUCACAGACCAGAGUUUGGAUGAGGCGCAGGCCAGAAAACAUGCUUUAAACUGCCACAGAAUGAAGCCUGCCUUGUUUAAUGUGUUGUGUGAAAUCAAAGAAAAAACAGAUUUAUUAAAACAGAUGUGAUCUACCAAUAAUGUUGUACAUCUGAUGGAAAGAAUUGGAAUAUAAUAAUCCUACUUUUCUUUAAUGCAUUACUAAUUCAGACAGGCCCUUCUGGUUGUUCUGAAUUGGAGAGAGAGCAGGCACCUCAGUUGGAUUUGGAAUCACCCACUAUUUUUUGCAGGUAUUUCGAAAAAAGCCUGGUUUUGGUACAGCUCUUCCAGAACCCACGGGAAGAACCUGUUCAUCAGCUCAUCCAUCCAUCUGCUGAGUAAAUGCUUAUUGAGCAUCUACUGAAUGCCAGCACUGUUCUUUGUUCUUGGAAUACAUCAGUAAACAAAAUAGGAAAAACAAAACCAAACCUCCUGACCUCAAGGAGCUUUUAUUUUAGGAAUGAUGUCUUUUAGUCGUUUAAUAGUUGCUGUUUUUAUUAACUCUUAACUCUACCCAUAAACUGGAUACUUUCAACUUUAAAAAAAAAAAAAGGGAAACUAAUUAUGUGCCCUAAGGAUCACCAGGUCUCAGGUUCUACCUUUAUUUUUUUUCUACUGUUAAAUAGCAACCUCCUUCCUCAGGCUGCUGAUGGAAUUGGUAACUGAGUAAUCAGGCCGCUGUGCUUGGGGACAUAAAACCUGCGGCCGCUGCCACUCUAGAGUCCCAUCCUGGGUCAGAGUUCGUCCCUGGGAAACAACUUGUGCUGGCGGAAGGGGUUCUUCCUUUGCUCCCCUCAUACCUCCCUUCCUUGCAGAUGGGAUCCUUGCAAGGGCAGAGCAGCUCUUAGAGGUGUCGGGCCCUUUUCUUUCAUUCUGCUUAUUUUCCCAUAGGCAAGCACUGCUCAGAACCCAGGCUGUGAGUUUUUUGAUGUGGAAAGCUAUUUACUAAGCAUGUCUUGAGGCAGAGGAUGGAAGGAAAGAAAGCCUCCAAGAGAGUGGUGAUUCUACAACCAUCAUCAAAGUUUGGUUGAAAACUCAAAGUUGCUGAUAUGUAUUAGUAAGCAGAUAAUAGUAACAUCCUGUAUUUGCAUGGCCCUGUAUCAGUCAAUAGCAUUCAGAUUUGUGUGGUGGUGUAUAGCUUUCCUUAUUUCAUAUCAGGUAUUUUCGUUUGAUCCCAAGUAGUAUGUACUGAGACAGAAGAAAUAGCCCCAUUUUACAGAAGAAGAAACCCAAAAUUGCAAGGAAUUUGCCUAAAGUCAUUAGAAAAUGUCUAAAAUAAGACUUUGACCCGGACUUUCUGAUUUCAAGCCCAGCGAUUCUUCUAACAGGCCAUAUUCUUUCACUUUUAUUAUCUUGACUUACGCAACAAAGGAGAUAAGCCAGGUACAUGUCAUUAAUCUUCCUAUGUAUGACAACUGAGACUCCAGGAGGUUAAAUGCCUUGCCUAAGAUUACCUGGGUGGUGGUAGAAGUGGUUUUCAAAACCAGAUCAUCUGAAUGGAAUCUAAGUCUUUCUGCUGUAUCACCUUGUUAAUGUGUCAGGAACUACCACCCCACCUUCCAAAACACAUACACACUCUCACUUUUAAUGCGGACCCAUCUUAGAAUAAACUAGUUAAGGACUGACUGCUGAACAUGAUCCAGAAACUUACUGUCAAAUUUUGCUUUUGAGACAUGCUUGUGUUGUGUGAAGUCUUUUUUUUUUUUUUUUUUUUUCGGUAUUGAUGAGGGAUCACUUUAAGAUUUAUUGGAUUUCGUUUGUUUUGUUUUGAGACAGGAUUUCACUCUUAUCACCCAGGCUGGAGUGGAGUGGCGUGAUCAUAGUUCACUUCAGCCUCGAACUCCUGGGCUCCAGCAAUCCUCCUGAGUAGCUGGGAAUAUAGGCAUGUGCCAAUACACCAGGCUAAUUUUAUAUAUAUUUUUAAAUUUUUAUAGAGAUGAAGGGGUCUCAGUAUGUUGCUCAGGCUGGUCUUGAACUCCUAGCCUCAAAUGGUCCUCCUGCAUUGGCCUCCCCAAAUACUGGGAUUACAAGCAUGAGCCACUGAGCCCAGCCUAUAAUUAUUCUAAAGAUUUCUUUCCUGUUUAUGUACAGAAUAUCUAACAGCUAUGCUUACCUUUAAAGCAGCGUUAUGAAUAUCCUUGUGAAUUCCUCAAGCUCAAGGGUCUUGUUUGCAUUUUGUAGAUAUAUCCGUAGAUAGAUCUUACCUAUCUCUGGCAGGUAACAUUAUCAUCAUGUUUUCCCUGUUUCUUGACACUUUGUGAAAGCAUUGUAGAAAUAAAAGAAGUCUUUAUUCUUUGACCUCUCUUAUGCUUUAUGAAUUCUGAAAAAUUGAGGGAGAUAAAAGGCAAUCUAUGCUUUACUGCUUUCCCUAAGUUUUGAGAAGCAGGCUUAAAAAAAUGCUUUAAAAAUUUUAGAAGCCAUAAUACACUGAAAAUAGGGAUCCCAGGUAGUUGAGGCAGACCAGGAUUCUUCUUUGACUCAGUCCUUUCACUGAAAAGACUGUAUUUACAUAUUUCUCUGAGUGUCCUAGAUUCAUAGACCCAAAUGACCUCUCUGAGCAUCAAGAUACAUGUAGAAGUUACUUCCUGAGGAUAAUAAAUAUGAAAAGAGAAUUAUCACUCUCUGCUUUCAGAAAUCACUUAAAAAGGAAGGGGGUGCUUUUCUCAUGAUGUUCCUGAGACAGAGUCCUUAUGUCACCUUGUAUUGGCAAAAAGAUCUGGGGCACUGUGUUUGACGAUAGCACUUCUUUGUUCCCCUCCCAAUAUAUUUACAGAAUAUAAUCCUCUUUUGCUUGCACUCAUUUCCAUAAUACGGAAAGUAAAUAAACCUUAUAUAACAUUUUAUGGUUAAGAACUACUUAGUCUUGUGUGUGGAACUUCAGCAAGAAGCAAAAGAAAAUUC
rnacentral:sRNA from 1 species